AGAAAUUGAAAGAGAUGGGAAGAAGGAAAAACUCAAUGAAUCUGGUCUCCUGUUUUCUUGGAGUGGCUUCCCCCAAAAGGGAAGAAAAAGAAUCGAUCCACCUUGGUCCCAGCCUUCUUGGUCGUCCUCUACUUUUUUUUUUUUUUCUUUCAAGCCAUCUUCACCCGAAAAAGAAAGAAUCAAUCCAGAAUCUGCCUCUUCAAUUCGGUAGAUUUUUGGCCUUGGAUUGUGGGCCGUUUUUCACUUAGAAAACGCGAGAAUUUCAAAAUCUCUAUUUCAGGAGAAAUUGUAGCACGUUAAAUUAACUUUCCAAGGCCUCUUGAAUCAGCUUAAUACGACAUCGAAUGAGGGACAUAUGGUGAAAAUACGAAGGGCAGU
rnacentral:lncRNA from 1 species